rnacentral:rRNA from 1 species
UACGUAGGGGGCAAGCGUUGUCCGGAAUCAUUGGGCGUAAAGAGCGUGUAGGCGGCCCGAUAAGUCCGCCGUGAAAGCCCAGGGCUCAGCCCUGGGAUGCCGGUGGAUACUGUCGGGCUAGAAUCCGGAAGAGGCGAGUGGAAUUCCUGGUGUAGCGGUGAAAUGCGCAGAUAUCAGGAGGAACACCGAUGGCGAAGGCAGCUCGCUGGGACGGUAUUGACGCUGAGACGCGAAAGCGUGGGGAGCAAACAGG